rnacentral:rRNA from 1 species
GACGAACGCUGGCGGCGUGCUUAACACAUGCAAGUCGAACGGAAAGGCCCUGCUUUUGUGGGGUGCUCGAGUGGCGAAAGGGUGAGUAACACGUGAGUAACCUGCCCUUGACUUUGGGAUAACCUCAGGAAACUCGGGCUAAUACCGGAUAGGAGCUCCUGCUGCAUUGUGUGGGUUGGAAAGUUUCGGCGGUUGGGGAUGGACUCGCGGCUUAUCAGCUUGUUGGUGGGGUAGUGGCUUACCAAGGUUUUGACGGGUAGCCGGCAUGCGAGGGUGACCGGCGACAAUGGGCCUGAGAUACGGCCCAGAAGGGUACGGGAGGCAGCAGGGGGGAAUAUUGCAGAGUGGGCGGAAGCCUGAUGCAGCAACGCCGCGUGCGGGAUGACGGCUUUCGGGUGGUAAACCGAUUUCGAAUGUGACGAAGCGUGAGUGACGGUAAUGGGUAAAGAAGCACCGGCUAACUACGUG